rnacentral:rRNA from 1 species
UACGUAGGGUGCGAGCGUUAAUCGGAAUUACUGGGCGUAAAGCGUGCGCAGGCGGUUUUGUAAGCCAGAUGUGAAAUCCCCGGGCUCAACCUGGGAACUGCAUUUGUGACUGCAUCGCUGGAGUGCGGCAGAGGGGGAUGGAAUUCCGCGUGUAGCAGUGAAAUGCGUAGAUAUGCGGAGGAACACCGAUGGCGAAGGCGCUCUGCUAGGCCGUAACUGACACUGAGGGACGAAAGCUAGGGGAGCGAACGGG